rnacentral:rRNA from 1 species
AUUGAACGCUGGCGGCAGGCCUAACACAUGCAAGUCGAACGAGUGGCGGACGGGUGAGUAAUGUCUGGGAAACUGCCCGAUGGAGGGGGAUAACUCCUGGAAACGGUAGCUAAUACCGCAUACCAUCGGAUGUGCCCAGAUGGGAUUAGCUAGUAGGUGGGGUAACGGCUCACCUAGGCGACGAUCCCUAGCUGGUCUGAGAGGAUGACCAGGCAGACUGGAACGGAGACACGGUCCAGACUCCUCCGGGAGGCGGCAUUAGGGAAUAUUGAACAGUGGGAGCAAGCCUGAUACAGCCAUGCCGCGUGUAUGAAGAAGGCCUUCGGGUAGUAAAGUACUUUCAGCGAGGAGGCGUGACUCGAAGAAGAAGCACCGGCUAACUCCGUGCCAGCAGCCGCGGUAAUUC